rnacentral:rRNA from 1 species
GAUGAACGCUGGCGGCGUGCCUAAUACAUGCAAGUCGAGCGAACGGACGAGAAGCUUGCUUCUCUGAUGUUAGCGGCGGACGGGUGAGUAACACGUGGAUAACCUACCUAUAAGACUGGGAUAACUUCGGGAAACCGGAGCUAAUACCGGAUAAUAUUUUGAACCGCAUGGUUCAAAAGUGAAAGACGGUCUUGCUGUCACUUAUAGAUGGAUCCGCGCUGCAUUAGCUAGUUGGUAAGGUAACGGCUUACCAAGGCAACGAUGCAUAGCCGACCUGAGAGGGUGAUCGGCCACACUGGAACUGAGACACGGUCCAGACUCCUACGGGAGGCAGCAGUAGGGAAUCUUCCGCAAUGGGCGAAAGCCUGACGGAGCAACGCCGCGUGAGUGAUGAAGGUCUUCGGAUCGUAAAACUCUGUUAUUAGGGAAGAACAUAUGUGUAAGUAACUGUGCACAUCUUGACGGUACCUAAUCAGAAAGCCACGGCUAACUACGUGCCAGCAGCCGCGGUAAUACGUAGGUGGCAAGCGUUAUCCGGAAUAUUUGGCGUAAAGCGCGCGUAGCGGUUUUUUAGUCUGAUGUGAAAGCCCACGGCUCAACCGUGGAGGGUCAUUGGAAACUGGAAAACUUGAGUGCAGAAGAGGAAAGUGGAAUUCCAUGUGUAGCGGUGAAAUGCGCAGAGAUAUGGAGGAACACCAGUGGCGAAGGCGACUUUCUGGUCUGUAACUGACGCUGAUGUGCGAAAGCGUGGGGAUCAAACAGGAUUAGAUACCCUGGUAGUCCACGCCGUAGACGAUGAGUGCUAAGUGUUAGGGGGUUUCCGCCCCUUAGUGCUGCAGCUAACGCAUUAAGCACUCCGCCUGGGGAGUACGACCGCAAGGUUGAAACUCAAAGGAACUGACGGGGACCCGCACAAGCGGUGGAGCAUGUGGUUUAAUUCGAAGCAACGCGAAGAACCUUACCAAAUCUUGACAUCCUUUGACAACUCUAGAGAUAGAGCCUUCCCCUUCGGGGGACAAAGUGACAGGUGGUGCAUGGUUGUCGUCAGCUCGUGUCGUGAGAUGUUGGGUUAAGUCCCGCAACGAGCGCAACCCUUAAGCUUAGUUGCCAUCAUUAAGUUGGGCACUCUAAGUUGACUGCCGGUGACAAACCGGAGGAAGGUGGGGAUGACGUCAAAUCAUCAUGCCCCUUAUGAUUUGGGCUACACACGUGCUACAAUGGACAAUACAAAGGGCAGCGAAACCGCGAGGUCAAGCAAAUCCCAUAAAGUUGUUCUCAGUUCGGAUUGUAGUCUGCAACUCGACUACAUGAAGCUGGAAUCGCUAGUAAUCGUAGAUCAGCAUGCUACGGUGAAUACGUUCCCGGGUCU